CCCCUGGGAGCCGGCAUAGACUAGCAUUCAUCUGAGGCUCAGCUGCUGCGUGUUCAGGGUGUCAAGUGAACCCCACCAUGUUCCCAUGCAGAGUGUGGCACAGAGGGACAGUCAGAGCCGGCUGGGCGUAACAGAGCUGCACUUACGGUCGCUGCAGAACGGUCCCCCGUAGGUUGUCAUGGUGCAGUCGCAGGAGAAGCCCUCCCACAGCUGCAGACACACUCCCUGAUGGUGGCAGGACUCCUCUGUGCAGGUGGUGCUGGGACCUGCAGGGGGUUGACAGCAGAUGUAACCAGCCGCGCUCCACCUCCCCCACCUUGUGUAGGGCAUCAGCCAGCAGUUCAGGCAGCCUGCCGUUCAAGUCCAUGGAUGCCAGGCAGCCCUUGUAACCUUCCCGGGAUGCUAUUAACCUGGGCAGGCUGCUGUACAUGCUCUUCCCAACACCGCCAAUGUACAGCUCUCCUGUGAGAUGCGUGAGAGAAAUUCCUGUUAAAAAAAUCGUAUUAUUUCACCACAACCGAGUACGUUGUUGGCUCCUUAAAAUAGAAUGACAAGCAUCAGAGGUGUUUCUUAUAAUCUGUCUUCGAAAUUAUUAAAAAUGUAGUGACCAUUUGAUAUACAACACAGAACUGAACUUCUUGGUAACAUCUUGCCUCACAUUCUUAAAGUUACUGAUUGU